rnacentral:rRNA from 1 species
UACGUAGGUGGCGAGCGUUAUCCGGAUUUACUGGGUGUAAAGGGCGUGUAGGCGGGUUUGCAAGUCGGGUGUGAAAGAUCCAGGCUUAACUUGGAGAGGUCAUCCGAAACUGCAGAUCUUGAGUGCUGGAGAGGAUAGUGGAAUUCCUGGUGUAGCGGUAAAAUGCGUAGAUAUCAGGAGGAACACCAGUGGCGAAGGCGGCUAUCUGGACAGUGACUGACGCUGAGGCGCGAAAGCGUGGGGAGCAAACAGGAUUAGA